GGCCUAACCCCACAGCAUUUAAUGCUCUGGGUAAGGCCGUAAAUCGCUGGACACAAGAAACCCCACCGUUAGGGCGUGUUCAGCGUUGUAUGGAGAAAUCUAUACAGAGGCGCAAGCCUU
rnacentral:sRNA from 1 species